CCAGGCGCAGCCGUGGGGGGCGUGACGCUGCAGUACCGCAUCCAGGAGCAGAGCUACAAGGAGACGCUGCCGUUCCCCCUGCAGCCGCAGGCUGGAGACAGCCUCCGUGCCACCGUUCUCCAUGCCUUCGCGGCGCUUUGUGUCCCUGGUGCCGUCGAACGACAUCUGUGUGGUCGACUGGUCUCCCAUCCUGAAAAGAGAUAACGUGCUGGAGAGACUGGAGAUCACGGAUAGUUACGAUAACUUGAUUGAGGAGCACAGCUGCCAUGCCAGUGCGUUUCAACCGCACACCAAAUCCAGCCUGGGCCUUCAGCUCCCUCAGAAGUGUCUGUCCUGGCUCCGCAGCAUCCCACAGCGCCUCUGGGGACGGCCGCAACACAAUGGCAGCAAGAGCUCCGACCCGGGGGCCCUGCCAGAGCCUGCACCCCAGAAAGACCAGGCAACGGAGGAGUCUCCCCUGCUGAGGCUGGUGUCCCUGCAGAACGCCGAUGGCUCCUGGGACCUCGGGCCCCAGCUGGUCGUCGCGCUGGGGGUGAGUGAGACAGACGCCAGAGGGAGGAUGCCCAGUGAGGACGUGGUCCCUGGCGUCUGGGCCACGGUGCUGGCCGUGGUCUGGCUGCACGGCCGGGCCGCGGGGCAGCGCGACGAGUGGGAGCUGCUGGAGGCAAAAGCUGUGGUCUGGGUGCAGGAUCGAGCAGGGCCCUGGCUGAGCGAGUGCCUGGAAGCCGCCAAUGCUUUGCUGGGCUGCAGUGUGGGCCCUGCCGUCUUUGGGCUCUGACCUCCCAGGGAUCCCUGCACCCACAAGCUACCCUGGGCCAUCAAGUGGGGGCCCUGAGGCCAGCAGUGGGCACUGGGUGCAGCCUCAGCCCAGCCUGGAGCUAACUCCCAGCAUGGAUCCCACCGCUGCCACCAAUUAGAAUUCAUGAGUCUCCUGCUACCUGCAGUGGAGCCACGGCUGCCCCCUGGCUCCAACCCCUGGCGAGCUGCUAUUCAGCAACCCCUGCGCCGCUCACAGCCACCGUCUCCUUUCAGCAUUGUGGGGGAUCGCCAGUGUCAACGUUGCAAAUUGCUUUGCUUUUUCCCCAAUACUAGAGGGGUGCCUGUCUCAACAGUCCCCGCACCCCAUAGGUGGCUGCCCUGACCCUGCUCUGCAUGAGCCACCCAGUGGAAACCAAGUCCCCUGCACUCCGAGUUCAGCUUUGGUGAAAGACAGACAGACAGACAGGAUUUCUGGGUGUCCAAACACAACCCCCUGUGGUCGUCAUGGCCGGUUUCUCCUUGCUAGAGUGUCCCGCGUGUGAACGGCAGCCCAGGCAUUCGCACCAAUGACUGAUUCGUGCCCUGCCCAGAUUUGAGCCGAGCAGACGGUUUGCAGCCGGGCAGAAUUCGGCCGGCAGGCGCGACCCCAUGGGGAAGGGCGGUAGCUGGAAGUAGAGGCCACGUGCCGUGUGUUGUGAAUCCAUCCUAGGUGCAUGCAGAACAUUUACAAAGGAACUUCUUCUAGUCCCAAGAAAUAAUGUCGGCACCCAAUUCUAGGCAGGGUUUACAGCCGAGACGCUAAGACAUGGACCAGUGUCCCCCUCCAGGGUGUGUCCGAAAAAACGUCCCCUGCGUCCAGACUGCUGCUGCCUUCUUUCGAAAGUAAAUUGAAAGACCGCGGCAACUUUUUUGAAGGCGGAAAACUGCGUUUGACGAGGAAGAACGCCUUUCGAGAGAGCCUCCUUUGAAAGAGGCUUGCAGUCUAGACGUAGCCUUAGUUACAAUUUAUGCGACGUCCAGAUCCUGUCUUCGGUGUGUUAAUCCAUCGUAUUGACAUGACGUCCUUUUCCCAUGUCAAGUAACUCAAUGUGCUGGAGGUGUCUGGUUACUUACCUAGAAACCAUGCAGCCCAGGAAUAUGCGUGUAACCUGUUGGAUGGUUAAUGAGAAAUACCCAACCAAAAGGCCGUGUCGCAUCCGUGACCUUUUAAGGCAGGCAGAGACUCUGCAAGCAGAUAUAUUCAAUGAGAAGCAGCCAGAAAAUUUCUCUCUCUCCUGGCCAAGACGUAAUAUCCCAGCAGAAGCCUGGGACCGUCCCGGAGGGAGUGAAGCCUCCUGCAGAUCCGAAGGCAUCUCCCAAGGAACAUCAUUGUCGAGUCUCCGGGAAGCGGACGCCAGCCAUCGGCAAAAUCC